GUUGUGUCAUGUGUUCUAUUGUUUAUCUGUUUGUCUUCUUUAAUUUUUAGCCAGGAGUUGUCAGUUUGACUGUCCCUCUGGUAUCUUUCGUCCCUCUUUAAAGGGUGAUUGUACAAUUUCGUUUUAGUAAGAACAUGUGAGCAGAUUUCAUCAGGGAAUUUUCUGAGUUAACUUGAAACAAUUACUUGUUAUUUUCAAAAUAACACAUGUG
rnacentral:lncRNA from 1 species